CCCCUCUCAGGAUUACAUCUGGAGAGUUUCCAGAACUCUGCCAGUCCCAGCUAUGUUAAGGAUAGUCAAGCAGAGGCAUACCCAUUCCAUUACUAGUUUGGGUAGUGGCUAGAGAGUGGAAGGCAAUCUGCUACAAGC